UUAACGGAAGUGUGAUUCAUUUUUGUGUUCUUGUUAUCCUAAAGAGUUGCAGUUUAAAAAUCUUUUAAGUAGUUUGAUCAAACAAAGAACAACCUUAAACAAAAAAGAGAAUUUUAAGUAGUAAUUAUCACAGUAACACUCUCCAACUCUCUUGCUUC